UACGUAGGGUGCGAGCGUUGCCCGGAUUUAUUGGGCGUAAAGGGCGCGCAGGCGCCACGCGCGUCCGUUGUGAAAUCGCUCGGCUCAACUGGGCGAGGUCAGCGGAUACGGCGUGGCUGGAGCAAGCUAGGGGGCAAUGGAAUUCCCGGUGUAGUGGUGGAAUGCGUAGAUAUCGGGAGGAACACCAGUGGCGAAGGCGGUUGCCUGGAGCUUUGCUGACGCUGAGGCGCGAAAGCGUGGGGAGCGGAUCCGG
rnacentral:rRNA from 1 species